rnacentral:rRNA from 1 species
GCUAUACAUGCAGUCGAGCGAGCCGAACUAAUUGAUUACCUUCGGGUAUGAAGUUAGGGAAGCGAGCGGCGGAUGGGUGAGUAACACGUGGGUAACCUACCCUAUAGUCUGGGAUACCACUUGGAAACAGGUGCUAAUACCAGAUAAAAGGAGAGAUCACAUGAUUUCUUUUUGAAAGGCGGCGUAAGCUGUCGCUAAAGGAUGGACCCGCGGUGCAUUAGCUAGUUGGUAAGGUAACGGCUUACCAAGGCAACGAUGCAUAGCCGAGUUGAGAGACUGAUCGGCCACAUUGGGACUGAGACGCGGCCCAAACUCCUACGGGAGGCAGCAGUAGGGAAUCUUCCACAAUGGACGCAAGUCUGAUGGAGCAACGCCGCGUGAGUGAAGAAGGUUCUCGGAUCGUAAAGCUCUGUUGUUGGUGAAGAAAGAUAGUGAGAGUAACUGCUCAUUAUUUGCCGGUAAUCAACCAGAAAGUCACGGCUAACUACGUGCCAGCAGCCGCGGUAAUACGUAGGUGGCAAGCGUUGUCCGGAUUUAUUGGGCGUAAAGCGAGCGCAGGCGGAAAGAUAAGUCAGAUGUGAAAGCCCUCGGCUUAACCGAGGAAUAGCAUCGGAAACUGUCUUUCUUGAGUGCAGAAGAGGAGAGUGGAACUCCAUGUGUAGCGGUGGAAUGCGUAGAUAUAUGGAAGAACACCAGUGGCGAAGGCGGCUCUCUGGUCUGUAACUGACGCUGAGGCUC